UGAGCGGAAGAAAAGAUUUCUCAGCUGCAAAAUACUCAGUAACACUCCUGAUCAACAUUGGCUCAGUGCAGCCCAAAAUCCUGAGACACUGGGAAGAGACAGCUUGGAGAAUCCCUAGUCAUUCACUGGGGUUUUCAAUUUAUUCUUUGCAGCCAGACAGUGCUCCCGUUGCCGGCUUGCGGGCUCAGCAGCCAACUCUCCCCCACUGCUGCCAAUCAAAGGGGCGCUGCUGAAGCGGGGCUGCUCCUGCAAUAAAAGUGUAGGAAGCUUAUGGCUGCAGAGUAAUGCAGACAAAGCACGAGUGAGAGGGAGACAAAAGGGAUGGAGUCUGAGAUGAUGUGAUCCACCCCGUUAAAGGAACCGUCCGUAGCCUCUGCAGCCGUGUUUAUGCUGCUUCACGCGAUAGGCACCAGCCUCUCAUCCCCCCGGGAGAUUUUUACAGCAUUAAUUCACUCUGCACAAAACCCAGCCUGCAAGGCUCCUCUCCAGCAGCGACCUUUUCAUCCCUCCAGCUCCCCCCAUUCCCGAGAGCCCUGCCCGCAGGAGCUGCACCCCUCCGGCUGACCUCCCAUCGCUCUCGAUCAAAUGUCACCUGUACCCAAUGAAGCAGACCCCGAAGUGCCACGAAUGGAUCCCAGGAUUCUUAUUUUCCUGCUCUACGUGAUGAUCCUUCACGAGCUGGUGAGUGGCUGGAUGGAGUACCAGAAGCAGAUAGCCAAGCCAAAGAAGCAGGCGGGUCCGGUUUGGUCUUCUAGCAACACCACCAGAUCAAACCACUCCAGCUUCUCCAGGCCUCUGGUCCACUCGGUGCGCAGGGAGAGGUACAGGGACUGGAGGAAGCCAGGGCGGAUCAUCCGGAAAGCGUGAGAAUGCAUCUGCUGGGGAGAGUGGGGAGAGAUUACUGAGCCAGAGGCAACCAUCCCUCACGAGGGCUGCACCGACUUACCACCUUGCAGCAGCAGCCGGCAUGAGAGCAUCCUCCAGGUACCGUGACCUGCAACGUGCAGCUUUAUUCUCUUCACUGAGCCUGGCACAACCAAGAAGUGAAGCCUUUCCUCCUGGGAACUUGUCCCUGUGUGGUGAGGAACCAGGGUGGGGACGUGUCAGCCAGCAGUGGGAUCACUGGAGAUGGGACGAGGCUUUUGCCACCCAACACAGCAAAGUGACUUUUCUUUCUUCUUCCCAAAGGGUUCAGUAGAUGGAGAGUACAUUUCCUGGGGGAAGAAUGAAAUUUGCUCCUGCAUGGGCAACCCAGGGAAGCCUCCAAAUGGUUUCAGGCUCCUCUCUUCGCGCUCGAGGACUGCGUGGCUGAUAAGCAGCAUCUCCCAAAGUGACUGGGAAAUCUUUGGUGCCCAGUUUGUCACCAUUCCCAGGAGAAAUUGCCUCCACUGGGGCAUCCAGAGGUCACGACACUUUGGAAAUGCUGGUUCCCAGUUAAGUGUCAUGCAGUGGGAGUCUGUAAAUUUUUUUCUGUUUUUCUUCUCCCUUGUUAAAUGAGUUACUCCAGGGUGGGAGGGGGAAAGCGCCCUGAACCGGUGACUCAGAGUUAUGCCACCGAAUGCAAUUUACUGCAGUGACCUUGUAAUUAGCUUUCUUUGGAGCAUUCCCAGCAGUCAAGCCAAACAUAAGAGCGACUUUCUAAUGAGCAGAUAGAUGGGAAAGGAAUACAAUAUUGCUCUUUUAUUAGAGUCUGCGGUUUCAGCAUAAAAUUAGGUUUUAGAGGCAAAAGUCAAUCGUUGCGUCCUGCCACCCCACGGAGCAGCUGCGCGCAGGAUGGGAGUCGCUAAGCGCUGGAGGGAUUCUGACACUGAGCUCUAACAGCAACUGUCCAUGGCAAAACUCCCUGCCUUAUUUGCUGAACAUAAUGUUUGGCUCAAACGCAGCCUGUUUUUCUCGUUGCCAACCAUUUAUGAACCUGACUCAGGCUCACAGAUGCAUUAUCCAGAAGUAGAUAGGGAAGGGAGUCGGAAUAGAUUAUGCAUUCAUUAUCCAGAAGUAGCCACCAGAUACAUUUGCACAUUUGUCUGCUUCUCAGUUGUUUGCAAAAUGUUCCUGUCGGUUGACACUGUGUUUGUUCAGUCACUCAUGGCAGGAAUCACCUGGCCCAAGGUAGGCACAUGAGGGGCUGUGAUUAGUCUCCUCCAAAGUUAAACAUCAAAAGAAAGCUGGCUGAACCGUGCUCUUGAAGUGCCUGAUGCUCUAUCCCAGGCAAGCUGGAGAAGUAAUUCAGACGUAGACCUCUACGGUUAGGGGAGGUGAAGCUCAUGCUUUGUGUUCAGAUAUUUUUGACAAAGGAGAUAGGAGUAGCAAUUAACACUUUCUGCACAUUUCAAAGCAUAAACUCACUGCAAAGAUGCGCCUCAGCUCUGUGACGCUGUGGCUAUUUCCCGAGGCGUCCACUGCCUAUCCCAAUACAUGCAGGUACAUCCAAAACUAACAGAGCAACAAAUGGAGAAAGUGUCAGGAGAAAAAAUAUUCAGAAAGCGUUUCUGGGUGGUUUCCUAGAGCUGACUCUGCCCUGGUCUUACGGGGGACGCGCAGCUGGAUGAUCUCCCUGCUUUUCUGCUACAGUGUAUGUGAAUUUGCUGGGAGCACUUGCUAUGCAAAAAGUGUUUAAAUUAAUUACCGAGGUGGUACUGGAUAAGACUGGCUUCACUGCACAAGCUGGGCUCCCAGCCUCAACAGGACGGAUGAACCUGAACAGGGACCUGAAUUGGGCAGGUGGAUGUCCUGACUGCUGCGCCCUUAAGGAACGGUGAAGGGACAGGAAUGCCUUGCUCUGCUGAUCACAUGCUGGAUUUAUCCCUGUAAAUAUCAUCAUGUUUACUUCCAAUAAACUCUUUUUUAUAUAUGG